GGCGUACCUUUUGUAUAAUGGGUCAGCGAGUUAGUCUUUGCAGCAAGCUUAAGCCGAUAGGUGAAGGCGUAGCGAAAGCGAGUCUGAAUAGGGCGAUGAGUUGCAGGGAUUAGACCCGAAACCGAGUGAUCUAGCCAUGGGCAGGUUGAAGGUGCAGUAACAUGUACUGGAGGACCGAACCCACUCCCGUUGAAAAGGUAGGGGAUGACCUGUGGUUAGGGGUGAAAGGCCAAUCAAACUCGGAAAUAGCUGGUUCUCCGCGAAAUCUAUUGAGGUAGAGCGUCGGGAUAGGACACCACCGGGGGUAGAGCACUGGAUGGGCUAGGGGGCGCGAGCCUUACCAAACCUAACCAAACUCCGAAUACCGGUGAGUGAUUGCCCGGCAGGCAGACCAUGGGUGCUAAGGUCCGUGGUCGAGAGGGAAACAGCCCAGACCGCCAGCUAAGGUCCCCAAGUGGUGGCUAAGUGGGAAAGGAUGUGGGAAGGCCAAGACAGCCAGGAGGUUGGCUUAGAAGCAGCCAUCCUUUAAAGAAAGCGUAAUAGCUC
rnacentral:rRNA from 1 species